UACGGAGGAGGCAAGCGUUAUCCGGAAUUAUUGGGCGUAAAGCGUCCGCAGGUGGCUAUUCAAGCCUGCGGUCAAAGACUGGGGCUUAACCCUGGAAAGGCCGUGGAAACUGAAGAGCUAGAGUGCAGUAGGGGUAGAGGGAAUUCCCGGUGUAGCGGUGAAAUGCGUAGAGCUCGGGAAGAACAUCGGUGGCGAAAGCGCUCUGCUGGACUGCAACUGACACUCAGGGACGAAAGCUAGGGGAGCGAAUGGG
rnacentral:rRNA from 1 species